rnacentral:rRNA from 1 species
GACGAACGCUGGCGGCGUGCUUAACACAUGCAAGUCGAACGGAAAGGCCCUGCUUUUGUGGGGUGCUCGAGUGGCGAACGGGUGAGUAACACGUGAGUAACCUGCCCCUGACUUUGGGAUAACUUUAGGAAACUGGGGCUAAUACCGGAUAGGAGCUCCUGCUGCAUGGUGGGGGUUGGAAAGUUUCGGCGGUUGGGGAUGGACUCGCGGCUUAUCAGCUUGUUGGUGGGGUAGUGGCUUACCAAGGGUUUGACGGGUAGCCGGCCUGAGAGGGUGACCGGCCACAUUGGGACUGAGGUACGGCCCAGACUGCUACGGGAGGCAGCAGUGGAGAAUAUUGCACAAUGGGCGGAAGCCUGAUGCGGCGGCGCCGGGUGCGGGAUGACGGCUUUCGGGUUGUGAACCGAUUUCGACUGUGACGAAGCGUGAGUGACGGUAAUGAGUAAAGAAGCACCGGCUAACUACGUG